rnacentral:lncRNA from 1 species
CAACUGCUAAUGCAUGUGCUCAGUGGUUAUUAUAAGGGUGGGUAUGUGCUUAUUUUAGGCCAAGGUUUCCCAACUGGUGAUGCAUGUGCUCAAAAAAAAAAUAAAAAAAAAAUUUAAUAAGCAAUAAAGUGUCAUAACUUUACGGGUAAAUGGGUAUCAUUCUUCAAAAGGUGGGUUUUGUUGUAGGGCAGGUACUGUUAAAAUAGGGUAGAUUCAAGAUGUACGGGUUUAUAAUGUUUAUUUUAUGACUUAAGUCAAAGGGUGGUUUGUAAUGGUAUUUAUUAAUUAAUGACUUUUUGUCAUAAAAAAGCAUAAUGAGCUUAAUGCUUUAGACGCACCACUACAUGUCAGUAAAGCAUAAUGAGCUUAAUGCUUUAGAGGCACCACUAGGGGUCAGUGUGCUAACUCAUGUGCUUCUGGCAGUGACAUCACAGGCCAGCCUACUUACUGGAUAAAACCAAAUAGUAGGAGGAAUUGAGCCUCCUUUUUCCUUUGCUUGCAUUGAUUGAACAUGUAGCUGUGUGUAUAGCUCCAGCCAAACAGGCUGGAGCCGUGUAAGUAAUCUAUUAUAACAGCUAGCAACUGUUAUAGCCUUUUGUAAG